rnacentral:rRNA from 1 species
GACGAACGCUGGCGGCGUGCCUAAUACAUGCAAGUCGAGCGGAUCUGAUGGAGUGCUUGCACUUCUGAUGGUUAGCGGCGGACGGGUGAGUAACACGUAGGCAACCUGCCUGCAAGCCCGGGAUAACAUUCGGAAACGAAUGCUAAGACCGGAUACGCAGCUUGGUCGCAUGACUGAGCUGGGAAAGACGGAGCAAUCUGUCGCUUGCAGAUGGGCCUGCGGCGCAUUAGCUAGUUGGUGAGGUAACGGCCCACCAAGGCGACGAUGCGUAGCCGACCUGAGAGGGUGAACGGCCACACUGGGACUGCGACACGGCCCAGACUCCUACGGGAGGCAGCAGUAGGGAAUCUUCCACAAUGGACGCAAGUCUGAUGGAGCAACGCCGCGUGAGUGAGGAAGGCCUUCGGGUCGUAAAGCUCUGUUGCCAGGGAAGAACGCCUAGGAGAGUAACUGCUCUUAGGGUGACGGUACCUGAGAAGAAAGCCCCGGCUAACUACGUGCCAGCCGCCGCCGUAACAC